GAUGAACGCUGGCGGCGUGCCUAACACAUGCAAGUCGAGCGAACCCUUCGGGGUGAGCGGCGGACGGGUGAGUAACGCGUGGGUAACCUGCCCUGUACACACGGAUAACAUACCGAAAGGUAUGCUAAUACGGGAUAACAUAUGAGAGUCGCAUGGCUUUCAUAUCAAAGCUCCGGCGGUACAGGAUGGACCCGCGUCUGAUUAGCUAGUUGGUAAGGUAACGGCUUACCAAGGCAACGAUCAGUAGCCGACCUGAGAGGGUGAUCGGCCACAUUGGGACUGAGACACGGUCCAAACUGCUACGGGAGGCAGCAGUGGGGAAUAUUGCACAAUGGGCGAAAGCCUGAUGCAGCAACGCCGCGUGAGCGAUGAAGGCCUUCGGGUCGUAAAGCUCUGUCCUCAAGGAAGAUAAUGACGGUACUUGAGGAGGAAGCCCCGGCUAACUACGUGCCAGCCGCCGCGGUAAAAC
rnacentral:rRNA from 1 species